GAUGAACGCUGGCGGCGUGCCUAAUACAUGCAAGUCGAGCGAACGGACGAGAAGCUUGCUUCUCUGAUGUUAGCGGCGGACGGGUGAGUAACACGUGGAUAACCUACCUAUAAGACUGGGAUAACUUCGGGAAACCGGAGCUAAUACCGGAUAAUAUUUUGAACCGCAUGGUUCAAAAGUGAAAGACGGUCUUGCUGUCACUUAUAGAUGGAUCCGCGCUGCAUUAGCUAGUUGGUAAGGUAACGGCUUACCAAGGCAACGAUGCAUAGCCGACCUGAGAGGGUGAUCGGCCACACUGGAACUGAGACACGGUCCAGACUCCUACGGGAGGCAGCAGUAGGGAAUCUUCCGCAAUGGGCGAAAGCCUGACGGAGCAACGCCGCGUGAGUGAUGAAGGUCUUCGGAUCGUAAAACUCUGUUAUUAGGGAAGAACAUAUGUGUAAGUAACUGUGCACAUCUUGACGGUACCUAAUCAGAAAGCCACGGCUAACUACGUGCCAGCAGCCGCGGUAAUACGUAGGUGGCAAGCGUUAUCCGGAAUUAUUGGGCGUAAAGCGCGCGUAGGCGGUUUUUUAAGUCUGAUGUGAAAGCCCACGGCUCAACCGUGGAGGGCCAUUGGAAACUGGAAAACUUGAGUGCAGAAGAGGAAAGUGGAAUUCCAUGUGUAGCGGUGAAAUGCGCAGAGAUAUGGAGGAACACCAGUGGCGAAGGCGACUUUCUGGUCUGUAACUGACGCUGAUGUGCGAAAGCGUGGGGAUCAAACAGGAUUAGAUACCCUGGUAGUCCACGCCGUAAACGAUGAGUGCUAAGUGUUAGGGGGUUUCCGCCCCUUAGUGCUGCAGCUAACGCAUUAAGCACUCCGCCUGGGGAGUACGACCGCAAGGUUGAAACUCAAAGGAAUUGACGGGGACCCGCACAAGCGGUGGAGCAUGUGGUUUAAUUCGAAGCAACGCGAAGAACCUUACCAAAUCUUGACAUCCUUUGACAACUCUAGAGAUAGAGCCUUCCCCUUCGGGGGACAAAGUGACAGGUGGUGCAUGGUUGUCGUCAGCUCGUGUCGUGAGAUGUUGGGUUAAGUCCCGCAACGAGCGCAACCCUUAAGCUUAGUUGCCAUCAUUAAGUUGGGCACUCUAAGUUGACUGCCGGUGACAAACCGGAGGAAGGUGGGGGUGACGUCAAAUCAUCAUGCCCCUUAUGAUUUGGGCUACACACGUGCUACAAUGGACAAUACAAAGGGCAGCGAAACCGCGAGGUCAAGCAAAUCCCAUAAAGUUGUUCUCAGUUCGGAUUGUAGUCUGCAACUCGACUACAUGAAGCUGGAAUCGCUAGUAAUCGUAGAUCAGCAUGCUACGGUGAAUACGUUCCCGGGUCU
rnacentral:rRNA from 1 species